GGAAGAACAGCGGCUACAAAGCAGCUGCAGCUCACGAAGGCUCCUCCACCUCUGGAAGAGAUCAGGGAUUGGAUGCUGGUGUCAAGGCGUAACGGAGCCCGUCGGCCCCUGUGCAGCCGGCUGGGGGGGAUCCCAGACACGAGAAACCGGAGCAGAUCAGGCUCCUGGGAUUGCCACAGCCCAGCAGCACCUUCCACAGCCUGAUUAAAGCCUUUGCCUUGAUUGUACCCGAGCUAAACGCCCGGCUGCGAGACAGCAACUGCGGCAUUCGCUUUAGAAUUGAAACCUCCGUGGCUGCAGACGGCCAGGGAUGGUCGGGGUCACUUAUUGUUUGAUUGCUACAGAACUAGCUUGUUUUAAAACUUAAAUCUAUGAGGAUCUUGUUUGUAUAGAAAAAUAACCAGGGGUGGCUGGACUGAAUUGUUAGCGAUGGGCUGUACCCAGCACACACUGUUCUGUUCGCUUUGAUUGUAACUUAGCCCCUGUUUUCUGUUUCUGUGGUGAUUAAGAUAUUGUUCUUUUUACUGCUGCAGCUUCCUGUGUAAUGGAAUAAAUCCUGAGUCACUCCUUGUCUACAUUACAAUUUGCACUGGUGUAACCAUAAAGGUGUGUAAUUAAACUGAGUUAGUUAAAUCCCUGUGUAGACCAACAUGGUCCGUUGUAGAAAUGGCAUUUUUUUUAUUUAAAGUGAUUCCCGAGAGACUCUUAAGCAACACCAGAAAAAAGCCACCUCUUCUACUAGAAUCAGUGUCCACUACCUGAUCUGGUUCAAGUUUGCAUGUAGACAAAGCCUAAGCUGGCACCAGUUCUGCUCCCAAAUGGGUCGAUUUUGUGUGUGACGGUUGUAAUUUAUUUUUUUUUUGAUUGGUUAAGGUUUUAACAACUGCUUUAAAUAGCAACACUGUUAAUCUCUUGGCGAUUUUAUGUGGACACAAUAAAUG